UACGUAGGGUGCAAGCGUUAUCCGGAAUUAUUGGGCGUAAAGAGCUCGUAGACGGUUUGUCACGUCUGCUGUGAAAACUGGAGGCUCAACCUCCAGCCUGCAGUGGGUACGGGCAGACUAGAGUGCGGUAGGGGAGAUUGGAAUUCCUGGUGUAGCGGUGGAAUGCGCAGAUAUCAGGAGGAACACCGAUGGCGAAGGCAGAUCUCUGGGCCGUAACUGACGCUCAUGCACGAAAGCGUGGGGAGCAAACAGG
rnacentral:rRNA from 1 species